AUGGUGAUGCCGGCUUGCACCGGCAAGGAGAAAGGGACAUGUCUGCCGGUCGGCCUGCCAGCCGGCAGCCAUGGUGGCCAACUCCUUCUUUUGCUCGGACGAGAGGUUGUCCCAGAAAGCUUUGAAAAGGCCAUGGCGAGUGUAGUGCGGAGAGGAGAAAGGGACCGGAGGAGGAUGGUUGUGGCUGUGACCGGGACUAGAGUUUAUAUAGCGGGCGGAUGGCGAAAGGUCGUCACGGUGUGGUUAAUGGUGGGUGGUGGAGGGACGGACGGGUGGCGCCGGAGUAGGUUCCUUGGCAACCGCAUAACAUCAAUGUAA
rnacentral:rRNA from 1 species